rnacentral:rRNA from 1 species
UACGUAGGAGACGAGCGUUGUCCGGAGUUACUGGGCGUAAAGGGUGCGCAGGUGGCGGCGCGCGUGGGGGGUGAAAUCGCCCGGCUUAACUGGGCGGGGGCCUUCCAGACGGCGUGGCUUGAGCAGCGGAGGGGGACGUGGAAUUCCGGGUGGAGCGGUGAAAUGCGUAGAGAUCCGGAGGAACACCGACGGCGAAGGCAGCGCCCUGGCCGCCAUCUGACGCUCAGGCACGAAAGCUGGGGGAGCGAACAGG